UUCAUUGCCAGUAUUGUCGUUUUAAUGAACAAAAUUCAAAAUUAUUAAUUUGGUAACAAAAAUUACUGUUUUUUUGGGAAGAAAAUUAUGGAUAACUCUUGGUUUCUCACUUUUAUCGUAGGCUGUAUAGUGGGGUAUUUGAUAGGCAAGCACAAUUAGAAAAAGGCUUUUUAAGUUCCAAAACCACUACUUUCCUUUCAAAAAUGGAUGUAGAUUGGAUACUCACAUUUCUAGUCGGUUGUUUGGUGGGAUACGUGGUGGCCAAGAAUACCUAAGAAAAGGUGAGAAAUCUUUGGGUCAAACUAAGUUCGGCGGAAAUCUAGUGCCAUCCUCCCGACUGGACUGGAUUUUGAUUGGGAAGAUAACAUUUGGUAUCAAACGUUUUAAAUCCGUCCCGUACUUCGGAAAUUAAAGUAAGAAAAGCAAAAUGACCCACGUUAUAACCUUUGCCUUGGGCGUGAUUAUUGGAAUGAUGAGCUGCCGGAAGUGCUGAGCCUAAGCCUAAAAAGCAAAUUAAAAAUUAUAUAAUUUAUGAGGAACAUAAAAUAUAUUAAUAUGAACAAUAAAUAAAAUCCAAACUUA